GUUGAAGGGAGUAGACCACGGCGCAGCGUGGUUAGUGCUCAUCUUGUAUUUAUUAAACAGAGAACACUAUAAACAAAGAAACAAAAACGACAGCCCACAGUUCUGUCAGGUUAGACAACUAAACAGAAAUGUAACCACCCACAAACACAAUGAAAAAAAAAACUACUUAAAUAUGGUCUCUAAUCAGAGGCAACGAGAUUCAGCUGCCUCCAAUUAGAGACCAACCCCAAACAAUUCCAACAUAGAAAUAGAUACCCUAGAAUAAACAUAGAAAUAGAAGAACAUAGAUCAUAACCCGAAAACACACAGAAAAACACCCCCUGCCACGCCCUGACCAAACUACAAUAAGAAAUAACCCCUUUUACUGGUAAGGACGUGACAGUACCCCCCCCCCCCCCCCAAAGGUGCAGACCCCGAAAUGCACCUCAAACAAAAAAAACCCUGAAAAACAACCCCAAACUUAAAUCAAAUCAAAUCAAAUGUAUUUAUAUAGCCCUACAUACAUCAGCUGAUAUCUCAAAGUGCUGUACAGAAACCCAGCCUAAAACCCCAAACAGCAAGCAAUGCAUGUGAAAGAAGCACGGUGGCUAGGAAAAACUCCCUAGGAAAAACUCCCUAGAAAGGCCAAAAACCUAGGAAGAAACCUAGAGAGGAACCAGGCUAUGAGGGGUGGCCAGUCCUCUUCUGGCUGUGCCGGGUGGAUAUUAUAACAGAACAUGGUCAAAAUGUUAAAAUGUUCAUAAAUGACCAGCAUGGUCAAAUAAUAAUAAUCAUAGUAGUUGUCGAGGGUGCAACAAGCACGUCCGGUGAACAGGUCAGGGUUCCAUAGCCGCAGGCAGAACAGUUGAAACUGGAGCAGCAGCAUGGCCAGGUGGACUGGGGACAGCAAGGAGUCAUCAUGCCAGGUAGUCCUGAGGCAUGGUCCUAGGGCUCAGGUCCUCCGAGAGAAAGACAGAAAGAGAGAAAGAGAGAAUUAGAGAGAGCACAUUUAAAUUCACACAGGACACCGGAUAAGACAAGAGAAAUACUCCAGAUGUAACAGACUGACCCUAGCCCCCCGACACAUAAACUACUGCAGCAUAAAUAUUGGAGGCUGAGACAGGAGGGAUCAGGAGACACUGUGGCCCCAUCCGAUGAAACCCCCGGACAGGGCCAAACAGGCAGGAUAUAACCCCACCCACUUUGCCAAAGCACAGCCCCCACACCACUAGAGGGAUGUCUCCAACCACCAACUUACCGUCCUAAGACAAGGCAGAGUAUAGCCCACAAAGAUCUCCGCCACGGCACAACCCAAGGGGGGGGCGCCAACCCAGACAGGAAGACCUAGUCAGUGACUCAGCCCACUCAAGUGACGCACCCCUCCCAUGGACGGCAUGGAAGAACACCAGUACGCCAGUGACUCAGCCCCUGUAAUAGGGUUAGAGGCAGAGAAUCCCAGGAGGCUGAGGAUUAAAGAGAGGGAAGGGAGGGCGGCCACCGUCAACGACAGUUCUUGUGCUACACCCCCCCUUCCCAAUCCUCCCCCCUACAGAGGUGGCUCAGGAGCGUGAUGCAGACCCCUCUCCACCACUGGCUCACCCCACUUUGGUGGCGCCUCUAGAGCGGGGUCCCUCGCCACCGACGCCGGACUGGUAGGCGGCUCAGGCAGCACCGGACAGGCGGGCGGCACUGGCUGCGCUGGACAGGCGGGCGGCUCUGGCGUCGCCAGACUGGCGGGCGGCUCUGGCGGCUCCGGACUGGCGGGACUUUCAGUAGGCCUGGCUCUGGGCGCAGGCACAGGACUCACCAGGCUGGAGAGACAUGCAGGAGGCCUGGCUCUGGGCGCAGACACAGGACUCACCAGGCUGGGGAGACAUGCAGGAGGCCUGGCUCUGGGAGCAGGCACAGGACUCACCAGGCUGGGGAGACACACAGGAGGCCUUGUCCUUGACUGAGGCACCGGAUACCCUGGGCCGUGGAGGCGCACUGGAGGUCUCGAGCUGAGAGCCUGCACAACCCGUCCUGGCUGGAUGGUGACCUUGGCCCGGCACGUGCGGGGCGCAGGCACAGGACACGCUGGGCUGUGCCGACGCACUGGAGACAUAGUGCGCAGAGCCAGCGCAGGAUAUCCUGGCCUGAGGAGACACACUGGAGGUCUGGAGAGUAGGACUGGCCCAAUCCUUCCUGGUUGGAUCCUCACCCUAGCCCGGCAGAUGCGGGGAGCUGGGAUGUAACGUACCGGGCUGUGAUUAGACUCCAUGCAUUUUUGGACACACCCAAAGCCAAGUGUUAGGCUGCCUACAGAGAGAGGGGCAUGCAAGCCAAGUGUUAGGCUGCCUCCAGAGAGCGGGGCAUGCAAGCCAAGUGUUAGGCUGCCUCCAGAGAGCGGGGCAUGCAAGCCAAGUGUUAGGCUGCCUCUAGAGAGAGGGGCAUGCAAGCCAAGUGUUAGGCUGACUACAGAAAGAGGGGCAUGCAAGCCAAGUGUUAGGCUGCCUACAGCGAGAGGGGCAUGCAAUGCCAGAGUGUUCGUAUGAUAUCCCAUUCUGUAUGUUUUGUGUGUUGCAGUAACAUAGAGGUCAGUGGGAAUAUCACUUUCGUAAAUGCUUUGUCAAAUGUUCUUCUUCACUGAAGCAGACAUUAGAAGAUAAUAUACUGUACAUUGAUAGUCUAUGAGAGAGUAAGUUGGCACUGUACAAUUAUCAACAGACAGAACAGACAGAAGAUAUAAUAUAACUAUUAUUGGGAAUUUUAAAGUACAUAUGUGCCCAUUAUACAUCUUAGAGUAGUCAGCAGGAUAAGUGCACUCUAUAUGUGUGUCUAGGUCAUUAGGCACCAUUAGACAUGCACCUGUCUUGGGAGUGGGCAUGUCUGUUUAUUUUUGUACCAUUGCUAUGGCCUAAUGUUUACUGUUGCUAUGGUUAUGCCCCCAAUGGAAUUUAUGCCCUAAUGUGAAACGAAGCAAAAAUUAGUGCAAGGCAAAAAGAUAAUGGUGACUAAAUGCCAGAGGGGAUGUAUCAUUAAGGGGGUGAAUAGUUACGCACACUCAAGUUUUCCGUUUUUUGUCUUAUUUCUUGUUUGUUUCACAAUCAAAAAU
rnacentral:lncRNA from 1 species